rnacentral:rRNA from 1 species
AUACGUAGGGAGCGAGCGUUGUCCGGAAUUACUGGGUGUAAAGGGUGCGUAGGCGGGACUGCAAGUCAGAUGUGAAAUGCCGGGGCUCAACCCCGGAGCUGCAUUUGAAACUGUGGUUCUUGAGUGAGGUAGAGGUAAGCGGAAUUCCUAGUGUAGCGGUGAAAUGCGUAGAUAUUAGGAGGAACAUCGGUGGCGAAGGCGGCUUACUGGGCCUUUACUGACGCUGUGGCACGAAAGCGUGGGGAGCAAACAGGAUUAGAUACCCUGGUAGUCCACGCUGUAAACGAUGAUGACUAGGUGUGGGGGGACUGAACCCUUCCGUGCCGCAGUUAACACAAUAAGUCAUCCACCUGGGGAGUACGGCCGCAAGGUUGAAACUCAAAUGAAUUGACGGGG